rnacentral:lncRNA from 1 species
AUGGUGACCCUCGAGCCUGUGUCCAGGGCCCCAACUCUGUCACCAGCAUGCGGGAGCUGGGGGGCCGGAGCCCGUGGUGCACACAGCCGGCCGUCACCGGAGCCCGUGCGCACACCCCUCCCCGUGCUGGUGCCACAGGGAUCUUGGGGCUGGGCUCUGGUGAGACCGCAGGCCCUGGGUGCCAGGGAGCCGGCUGCCGGGCCCCGCCCUCCUGCUGCCGCUCCCUCACAGGGGCGUUUUGGGGAGCUCUCCGCUGACCUGGGACGAGACAGAGGUCGCGGGGGCGCCCCAGCUUCCUCCUGCAGCAGCUCAGGCCCCAUCUGGGGGCGAAGGGGGGUCCCUGGCACCAACCUGGAGUGGUUGUGGAGCAGCCGCAGCCCUGUGCCUGGUUGUGUGUGUGUGUGUGCACGUGUGUGUGCUCACAUGCGCCGCACUGCGUGUGCGUGGAUGGUUGGGGGGGGCAUCCUGUGGAGCCGGGGCAGCUGUCACCGGCCCAGCGGCCUGCACUGCCCCCCGUCCUGGGUGUUGUGCCCGCCCUGCCCCAGGGCCGCGAGGGCAGCUCUUAGUCGUGGUGACCCUGAGCUGAAUCGGCUGAGGCCGUGUGCGGUGGAUCCGGGCACGGCUUUGCGAGCUUGCGUGCGGGCAGCGUCUGCGGGCGGCGGUGACCGGCAGUCCCGGAGGCACCCACAAAGCAGGCGUGGCCGUCUGGGGAGUUCCCGGCUGCGCUGUGCCCUGUCCCGUCCCGGUGGGUCUUGUGUUGAGCGUGUGUCCUUGGGUGCAGGGCUCAGCUCGGCUCACGGGGCUGUACUGAGGCCGGGGGGGGGGGGGGGCUGGGCAGAUGCCCUGGGAGCCGAGUUCUCACCUGUCCCAGCCCAAGGUGUUGGAAAGUCCGGGGCCCACUCGCCCCAGCAGCACUGGCCGGGCGGUAGGGAGGGCUGGCGUGCGGCCUGGCGGUGGUGGGGGUGGGGACAGCUCCUCCCGAUGAGGCCGGCUAGGGAAGCUGAGGCACAGCCCACGCUUCUCCCCAGGCCGUGA